GAUGAACGCUGGCGGCGUGCUUAAUACAUGCAAGUCGAGCGAACAGGUGAGGAGCUUGCUCCUCUGUCGUUAGCCGAGGACGGGUGUGACACACGUGGAUACUCUCCUUAACAGUCUGGGAUCACCUCGGGAAUCGGGCGCUAAUACGGUAUAAUCUAUUGAACCGCAUGGUUGAAUAGUGAAAGACGGUUUUUCUGUAAUUACUCGAUGGUUCCGCGCCGCAUUAGCUAGUUGUUACGGUAAAGGCUUUUGAAGGAGACGAUGCUUAGCCGACGUGAGGGGGGGAUCGGCCACACUGGAACUGGAACAGGGACCAGACUCCUACGGGAGGCAGCAGUAGGGAACCGUCGGCAAUGGGCGAAAGCCUGACGGAGCAACGCCGCGUGAGAGAUGAAGGUCUUCGGAUCGGAAAACUCUGUUAUUAGGGAAGAACAAAUGUGGAAGUAACUAUGCACGUCUUGACGGUACCGGAUCAGAAAGCCACGGCUAACUACGUG
rnacentral:rRNA from 1 species